CCAGGGCCGAGCAGGUGCUCGUGGUGCUGCUGGAGGUGCCACGGGAGCAGUUCCAGGAGGGGCUGAGCCCCCUGGUCAGGGAACGGCUGCACUUCCGGGACCUUUUCGGGGACCCCCUGGGCUGGCUGGGCCGGGCGCCCCCGGGCCCGGGGGGGCUCCUGGGGGGGGCGCUGGGGGGGCUGCCCCGCCCCCCGGGGGGGUCCCGGACCCUCGUGCUGGACUCGCUGAGCUGGGCCCUGCUGCGGGAGCCCCUCCCCGCCUCUGCCGCGGGCUGGGGGCGCUGCUGGGGGGGGCUCCCCCCCACGAGCCCCCUCCCCGAAUUGUGGCGCUGCUGCACCAGGACCUGCACCCCCCCCCAGUUUUGGGGGCUCUCGGGGGUCUCGCCCGGGCCCAGCUGAUCCUGGGGGGGCCCCCCGAGACCCCCGGAGCCCCCCGGAGGCUGAGGCUGCUCAGGGGACCCCCAGAAAGGGGGGGGACCCCUCCAGGAGACCCUCACCCUCCUCCCCGACGGUUCCUUGGGGGGGCCCCCCCAGCCCGACCCCCCCCCGACCCUUGGGGACCCCUCCCCAAAUUGGGGAGAGCCCAAAAAGCCCCAAAACUCCCCAAAUUUGGGGGUGGACCCCCGUGACCUUCCGCCUGGGGCUGUCGGGGGCCGAGCGGGGGGCGAGGGCGGCCCUGACCCCCCCGUACCU